UGGGGUAUAGUGUAACGGUAGCACGACGGACUCGGAAUUUGUUAAUCCCAGUUCAAAUCUAGAUACCCCAGCCA
rnacentral:tRNA from 1 species